GUCCAGGGGCGGGAAUCGAACCCACACCCUUCUGCUUACCUGCUUGUCCACUCGGCUACCCUGGA